rnacentral:rRNA from 1 species
AUGCUGCGCGCCCAGCUCGCGCACGCCCAAGCUCACUUCAAGAAACAAGCCGACCGCCACCGCGCGGAACGCACCUUCGACAUCGGCGAACAAGUUCUCCUCAAACUGCAGCAGUACGCGCAAUCAACCGUCGCCAACCGCCCGUGCCGCAAGCUCUCCUACAAGUUCUUCGGCCCUUUCGAGGUGACAGAGCGGAUCGGAACCCUGGCAUAUCGCCUGCAGUUGCCUCCAGACAGCCGCAUCCAUCCGGUAUUUCACGUCUCUCAGUUCAAGCCUUUCACCCCAGAUUACACUCCAGUCUUCGCCGAGCUGCCGCGAGUGCCCGAUCUCACUGGUGGUGAAACGGAGCCCGUGGCAAUCUUGGAGCGGAGGAUGAUGAAGAAGGGCGAUGCACCAGUUGUGCAACUCCGUGUCUAG